rnacentral:rRNA from 1 species
UACGGAGGGGGCUAGCGUUGUUCGGAAUUAUUGGGCGUAAAGGGCGCGUAGGCGGCCGAAUAAGUCUGACGUGAAAUCCCCCGGCCCAACCGGGGAACUGCGUUUGAUACUGUUCGGCUCGAGUCCGGGAGAGGGUAGUGGAAUUCCCAGUGUAGCGGUGAAAUGCGUAGAUAUUGGGAGGAACACCGGUGGCGAAGGCGGCUACCUGGACCGGUACUGACGCUGAGGCGCGAAAGCUAGGGUAGCAAACAGG